AAAAUAUUUUCCCAGUUUAUUGCUUCCCUUCUAAUCUUGUCUGCAUUAGUUUUGUUUGUACAAAAACUUUUCAGUUUGGUAUAAUCGAAAUUUUCUAUUUUGUGAUCAGUAAUGAUCUCUAGUUCUGCUUUGGUCAUAAAGACCUUCCCCUUGUGAAGUGAUUUAUUAUAAGUCCCUUAUUGUAUUCUGUGAGAAGUUGUUGUUCAAUCAUUUCAGUCUUUCCAUGAUUCCAUUUGGGGAUUUUUUGUCCUUUCAUCUUGGAAAUGUAAGAAUCAGACAGUGUGUAGCUGAUUGUGAUAGUGUUUAGUGAGGAAGCAGAGAUCUAACAAGGCUGUAAAUAGAGCCCAGCGUGGCACUGAUCCCAAGUCCUAUUAUAAUAAUAACAAUAACUGGCAUUUAUAUGGCCCUUUAAUGCUUAGGUAUUCGUUUGUUCCUCACAAUAAUCCUACAAGGUAGGUGCAAUCAUCACCUGAGUUUUUCACAAAUGGGGUUAAACUGAGGUUGAAAGUGACUGUGACUUAUUCAGGUUUAUAAGGAAGGAUUUGAACUCACGUCUUCCUGAUUCCAACACCUGUAUCAUCACACUGGUACUCGAAGAGUGUUUAUGGGAGUCAGUUUGAAUCUAUCCUGGGUUUUUAAUGGCUCAUACUGCUCUAGGCCCCCACUAGGCUAAUAUCAGGAAGGGGCAGAAGCUGGGAUGAUGCUAUGUAAUCAUGUCCCCAUCAAGAAUUGUAUAUCCCCAGAAAAACAGUCAAGCAGACAGAACAUUAACCUCAGAGGAGGAGACUUGGGGUUGAAUCCCAGUCCUGACCUUUGCAAGCUGAGUGAUCUUGGACAAAAGAACUUCUGAGACUCAGCUCUGUAAAAUGGGAAUAAUUCAACUCAGUUUAACAAGCAUUUAUUAAGAGUCUACCAUAUGCAAAGUUGGGAUAAUAAUGCUUUGAUAUUCACCUCACAAGACUGUGAGGAAAACAUUUUAUUAACCUUAAGGUCUCUUGAAAUAUGAGUGCAAAUUAUCAAUGACUAUACAAUUAUCCUCUGGGCUCUCCCAGAACCUGGUCAGUUAUAUCUCCCUUCAGGGUUCUAGAUUACCUCUGAGAGGUUGAAGUUUUUAUUUUUUUUUCUUCUAAACAUAUUUCCACAUUUAUUAUUCUGCACAAGAAAAAUCAGAUCAAAAAGAAAAAAAAAUGAGAGAGAAAAAACCAAGCAAUCAAAUAACAACAACAAAAAGGUGAAAAUAACAAGUUAUAUAUUUAACAUGUAUUGGACUACCUGCCAGCUAGGGGAGGAGGUGGGGGGAAGGAGGGGAAAUUUUAGAACAAAAGAUUUUGCAAGGGUCAAUGUUGAAAAAUUACUUUUGCAUAUGUUUUGUAAAUUAAUUAGUUAAUUAAUUAGAAAAUACUAAGUUGUAACAAUACUAUAUGAUGACCAGUUCUGAUGGACCUGGCCAUCCUCAGCAACAAGAUCAACCAAAUCAUUUCCAAUGGA
rnacentral:lncRNA from 1 species